CCUACGGGAGGCAGCAGUGGGGAAUAUUGGGCAAUGGAGGAAACUCUGACCCAGCGACGCCGCGUGCGGGAUGAAGGCCUUCGGGUUGUAAACCGCUUUCAGUAGGGAAGAAGCGAAAGUGACGGUACCUACAAAAGAAGCACCGGCUAACUAUGUGCCAGCAGCCGCGGUAAUACAUAGGGUGCAAGCGUUGUCCGGAAUUAUUGGGCGUAAAGAGCUCGUAGGUCGUUUGUUACGUCGGAUGUGAAAACCCUGAGGCUCAACCUCAGGCCUGCAUUCGAUACGGGCAAACUAGAGUUUGGUAGGGGAGACUGGAAUUCCUGGUGUAGCGGUGGAAUGCGCAGAUAUCAGGAGGAACACCAAUGGCGAAGGCAGGUCUCUGGGCCAAUACUGACACUGAGGAGCGAAAGUCUGGGGAGCGAACAGGAUUAGAUACCCUGGUAGUCCAGACCGUAAACGGUGGGCACUAGUUGUGGGAACCUUCCACGGUUUCUGCGACGCNGCUACGACAUUAAGUGCCCGCCGUCGGGAGGUACGAGUCGCGAGAAGUUAAACGUAACGAAAGGAAAGUUAGUAACGGUCGUGAGACGUGCCGAACGGACGACGACGAGGGGAGGUUAGG
rnacentral:rRNA from 1 species